AAAUACUUCAUAAAAUUUUUAUUUCUUUUUAAAAGGGGAGGGGAGGGGAGGGGAGGAGAGAGCAGAGGAGAGAAGAAAGAAGAGCCUAUGAAUCUUCCAUACACUGAUUCAUUGGCCAAAUGCCCACAACAGCUGAGACUGGGUCAGGCUGGAGCUAAGAGCUAAGAAGUCCAUCUAGGUCUCCCACAUGGGUGGUGGGAACCAGACACUGGGUCGUUACCUGCAGCCUAUCAGGCUGCUCUUCCACAGGAAGCUAGCAUUGCAAGCAGAGCUGGGACUUGAACCCAGGCAUUCCAAUAUGGGAUGUCUCACGCGGCAUCUUAACCAACGUGCCCAACACCCAUCCCCAAUCUGGGCACUUAUUGUAACUGGUAGCAUUUACUCCGUCUCAUAGGUUUCCGUAGUGUUUCCAUUGUCAGUCAAGAACAUUUUCAAUUUGUUUCUUCAUUUCUUCCUCGAUCCAUUGGUUGUUCAGGAGUUGUUUAAUUCAUAUGUAUUUGUGUAACUUCCAGUUUUUCUUGUUGAUUUCCAGCUUGAUUGCAUUGUGCUCAGACAAGAUUGUUAUGUGACUUAUUUUUAUAAAAAGGGGUUCUUUUUUUUUUUUUUUUUUGAGCUCAAGUCUAUUAUCACCUCUUUGAUCUAGAUUGCUCUUCGCACUCUUAUAAGGUAGACCCAUGCUUCCAAGGUUGGGGGGGGGGGGGGACUCAGGAUGCAGGUGAUGAUCAGAGCUGACUGCCAGUCGGCAGAGUUCAAGUUCCAAACCCCUGGGAGCUCACAGCUAGAAUGCUCCAACAGGAGCUGCAGCCUGUGGUCUGCAUCUGCUGACCGACCAGAGAUAACCUGGCUGCCUAGCAACCGAGCACAGGAGGCGCGUGUCAAGUGCGAGGCUGAAGUCUUCUCUGGGGCAUGCGCCAGUCUUCCAUGUGUGAGUGCCUCACGACAGGGCAGGCAGGAGAGAUUCCACCCAGGCACCGCUCCCAGCAACCUGCAGGUGCUGACAGCAGAGAACGUUGAGACGGCUCCUGGAACGGUUGCACCAAAGAAUCAGCACAUGGUGAUGGUGGGGACGUGCCUUAAACAUCAACCGCUGUGCGUCAAGGAAGGCUUCCUGUCCCUCCAGGGUUGGGGCUGGGAAGCCGGCGAUCCGGGGUCAAAGGGAAACUCGCAUUUCUGCCAGGAGAGUGCAUGAAGUCAUGGAAUCUCUUUUUCUGCUUUCUCGAGGCAGCAAGAUGAGCUUGUGGUCAAGUUCUAUGGUCAGAACUGGCCAGACUGCUCCAGUACCUCACUGAACCGAGAUAUCCUCAGCAGCCAAGGGUGAGCCAGGAUGAAACCGGGAGCCAGGAAUUCCAACUGCCUCUCCCACGUGCAUAGCAGGGACCCGAGUACUUCGGCCCUUCAGCUGCUGCCAUCAGGCACUUGUGCAGGAAACAGGAUGAGAAGCGGAGGCGAAGACAGGACCUAAUCCCGGGCAGACGCAGGUGCCCCAACUUCCUGCCACACAAACCUGCCCUCCCAUGUCUUGUGUCCUCCAGUGGCCCAGCCCACGACCACCUUCAGCAAAUCUUUGUUAUUUGAAGCAAAUGCAACAAAGAAAGCAGGAAAUAAACCCAAGGGAGAGAAAGGGGAAAGGCUACUUAGUGAAGGUUUUCAAGGGUAUAAAGGGUUAUUUCACAAAGGUGAGUGAACAUGACAUUCUUUUGUUUCUUCGAAGGCAGAAGGUGAGAAUAAACAACUAUCACUGCCCCCCACUCACCAUCUCUGAUAGGGCAGUCUAGUUUUUCCUUUGUUACAGUACAAUGGAGAUCCAUGAAUUAGUAAGAAAUUCAGAUACUGCUGUGUCACGGGAUGGCCAGCGUAGAUGCUGGACAGAUGCCAGACCUGCUUCUGAAUCAUGUGAACUCAGAUAAAAGUUCUCCCUGCAGGUACUCAGGAAGACGCCACCCAGUGGGCAAGCCAAAGAACAGAAAUUCCCCAAGUAUAGCUGUCACUUAUUGAGCACCUCAGUGUUUGCCAGCCACAGUGCCUGAUGCUUUCGCUUCCAUGUGCCCUGCCAAAUCGGAUCACUGCCUCCAUCAUGUGGGAUGAGGACACAGAAGCACAAAGAUAAUCUACUGAACCCGUGCUGUGUGAGUGCCAACAACUGGGUCAGGAUUUGAACAUGGGUCCGAGCACCCACGUACUCCCAGGCGCACCUCUCAAAAUGAGCACCACACUGAGUGAUGGCACUCGGCCAGCAGCCACCAUCGCCUGCAGGACAGGUGGUGCCCAAGACUUGGGAGUCUCCUGGUGUGCACGGCUGAAUGUCAAGGUCCUAAUCCCCGGAACCUGUCAAUGUUCCCUUCUACGGUGGUAAAGGAGACUUUACAGAUGGGAUUAAGUCCAGGCUCAAGAGGUGGGGAGAUUAUCCCGGAUUAUCCAGGUGGGCCCGAUGUAAUCGGAAGGCUGUUUAUCAGAUGGAGGCAGGAGGUCAGGAAGGGUUAAGAGCAGAUGUGUCACAGAUGCAAGAGAUUGUAGUGAGCCAAGACAAGGGUCACGAGCCACGAUACAAUGGCAGCACGGAGAGGCGGGAGGAGCUGAAGCUACAGAUGCCGGGUUGGGGGUGUAGCCCUGCCAGCACACUAAGUUCAGACUCCUUAUUCUUCGCACUGCAAGGAGGGAGAACAAAGCUGUGCUGUUUAAGUCACUAGGCCUGUGGCCUUUUUUUUAAGGCAGCAAGUGGGAGAUGACACAUCUGGGGACAUUUCAGGUCAGAGGGAGGGAGCGUGAGCUCCCCGGGAGGAAGGUCAGGAGGGACUCCUGAGAGGCAGUCACAGGCGUGCAGGACUCUCCCCAAGACCCUGCAGGAACACACGGAGGCGGGGCGGUGGGGAAGGUGCUUGGGAAGGGACAAGGGUACCCACGAUGGUCGCUUAGGGAGCAGAGCAGAGCAGACCCAAGCGGCGAACCCCGAAGCCGCCCCCAGGAAGAGCUCCAGGACCCUGGCCUCUCCCAGCCGGGCCAGGUGCCUGCUAUGAGAAACUGACAUGUACCUUCGCUGCACGGAUUUUCGCUUCCACUUCCCCGGCCAGGCCCUGUGUCACCUCUGGGGCAGCACCUGCUACAUUCUGGAAGGUGGGGACACAGUGGUGAAUUGUAAAAGCCAGAGACUGGGCUGCAGGGCACAGCUGAGGGCCCUGAGGCCACCAGGCUGGCCAGCAUUGGCCUCCGUCUGCUUUCCUGGCAGAAACCAAUACAAAAAGGAGAGCGGGUGGGCAGCAGGCGACACACAGAGGGGCUUCCAAAGCCCGCGAGUGAUGAGGAUGAAGAGCUGAGCUGUCUGGGAGCAAACAUCUUUGAAACCCACGCGCAGGUUUUCAAACUGCAUUUUUCACAAGCUCUCUGAAGACACGCACUUCGGGCAGCAGGUGUGUCACCAAUGACACAGGCCCACCUGGCUCUACCCUCAAGUUUCCUUUUACUUGGGAAAUGGGGCAGGGUUGGGGGGGAGUAUUUUAUAUCAAGCAUGUUUUAUAAGAGAAUGAACACAAGCACAUUUGGAGCCAAAAACAAAUUCUGCAUUAAUUUUGAAAGAAGAAAUUUCCCAGUACAAGCCACACUCGUAACAGCCCAACUUCCAGGGUACGCAUUUCCUUUUCUCUGCCCCAAAUAUUUCAGAAGAAAGUCUGAGAAGUUAGGCUUACAGAAAGUGUAAAUGCUGGAGCUUCUGCAGCUGGUUUGACCCCAUGAGACGCAGAUGGAGUUCCUGGCUCCGGACCUAACCCUGGCCCAGCCCCAGGUCUUGAAGGCACCGGGGAGAAAAUCAACAAAUAGGUGAUCUCUCCUAACCCAGUCUCCUAUCCCACCCCACCCCCCAUCUCUGUGUCUCUCUCUGCGUUUCAAAUACAUAAACUGAAAAAUAAAGUUAAUGGAAAAAAGGAAUUAAAAGACAAGUUUAGGGACCAGGGUUGUGCACGGGGAUAAGCUGCCACCUGUAACACCAGCAUCCCAUAUCAGAGCCCCAGUUCCAGUCCUAGCCACUCUGCUGCCAAC